rnacentral:rRNA from 1 species
GAGUUUGAUCGUGGCUCAGAUUGAACGCUGGCGGCAUGCCUUACACAUGCAAGUCGAACGGCAGCAUGAUCUAGCUUGCUAGAUUGAUGGCGAGUGGCGAACGGGUGAGUAAUACAUCGGAACGUGCCCUGUAGUGGGGGAUAACUAGUCGAAAGAUUAGCUAAUACCGCAUACGACCUGAGGGUGAAAGUGGGGGACCGCAAGGCCUCAUGCUAUAGGAGCGGCCGAUGUCUGAUUAGCUAGUUGGUGGGGUAAAGGCCCACCAAGGCGACGAUCAGUAGCUGGUCUGAGAGGACGAUCAGCCACACUGGGACUGAGACACGGCCCAGACUCCUACGGGAGGCAGCAGUGGGGAAUUUUGGACAAUGGGCGAAAGCCUGAUCCAGCAAUGCCGCGUGUGUGAAGAAGGCCUCGGU